rnacentral:rRNA from 1 species
AUUGGGCGUAAAGGGCUCGUAGGCGGUUCGUCGCGUCCGGUGUGAAAGUCCAUCGCUUAACGGUGGAUCCGCGCCGGGUACGGGCGGGCUUGAGUGCGGUAGGGGAGACUGGAAUUCCCGGUGUAACGGUGGAAUGUGUAGAUAUCGGGAAGAACACCAAUGGCGAAGGCAGGUCUCUGGGCCGUUACUGACGCUGAGGAGCGAAAGCGUGGGGAGCGAACAGGAUUAGAUACCCUGGUAGUCCACGCCGUAAACGGUGGAUGCUGGAUGUGGGGCCCGUUCCACGGGUUCCGUGUCGGAGCUAACGCGUUAAGCAUCCCGCCUGGGGAGUACGGCCGCAAGGCUAAAACUCAAAGAAAUUGACGGGGGCCCGCACAAGCGGCGGAGCAUGCGGAUUAAUUCGAUGCAACGCGAAGAACCUUACCUGGGCUUGACAUGUUCCCGACGAUCCCAGAGAUGGGGUUUCCCUUCGGGGCGGGUUCACAGGUGGUGCAUGGUCGUCGUCAGCUCGUGUCGUGAGAUGUUGGGUUAAGUCCCGCAACGAGCGCAACCCUCGCCCCGUGUUGCCAGCGGAUUAUGCCGGGAACUCACGGGGGACCGCCGGGGUUAACUCGGAGGAAGGUGGGGAUGACGUCAGAUCAUCAUGCCCCUUACGUCCAGGGCUUCACGCAUGCUACAAUGGCCGGUACAACGGGAUGCGACAGUGCGAGCUGGAGCGGAUCCCUGAAAACCGGUCUCAGUUCGGAUCGCAGUCUGCAACUCGACUGCGUGAAGGCGGAGUCGCUAGUAAUCGCGAAUCAGCAACGUCGCGGUGAAUGCGUUCCCGGGCCUUGUAC